CCAGACUCCUACGGGAGGCAGCAGUGGGGAAUAUUGCACAAUGGGCGCAAGCCUGAUGCAGCCAUGCCGCGUGUGUGAAGAAGGCCUUCGGGUUGUAAAGCACUUUCAGCGAGGAGGAAGGUGGUGAACUUAAUACGUUCAUCAAUUGACGUUACUCGCAGAAGAAGCACCGGCUAACUCCGUGCCAGCAGCCGCGGUAAUACGGAGGGUGCAAGCGUUAAUCGGAAUUACUGGGCGUAAAGCGCACGCAGGCGGUUUGUUAAGU
rnacentral:rRNA from 1 species